rnacentral:rRNA from 1 species
AUUGAACGCUGGCGGCAUGCUUUACACAUGCAAGUCGAACGGCAGCACGGGGGCAACCCUGGUGGCGAGUGGCGAACGGGUGAGUAAUGCAUCGGAACGUACCCAGUCGUGGGGGAUAACGCAGCGAAAGUUGUGCUAAUACCGCAUACGACCUGAGGGUGAAAGCGGGGGACCGUAAGGCCUCGCGCGAUUGGAGCGGCCGAUGUCUGAUUAGCUAGUUGGUGGGGUAAAGGCCCACCAAGGCGACGAUCAGUAGCGGGUCUGAGAGGAUGAUCCGCCACACUGGGACUGAGACACGGCCCAGACUCCUACGGGAGGCAGCAGUGGGGAAUUUUGGACAAUGGGGGCAACCCUGAUCCAGCCAUGCCGCGUGCGGGAAGAAGGCCU